UGGGGAAUUUUGGACAAUGGGCGAAAGCCUGAUCCAGCCAUGCCGCGUGAGUGAAGAAGGCCUUCGGGUUGUAAAGCUCUUUCGGCCGGGAAGAAAUCGCACAGGCUAAUACCCUGUGUGGAUGACGGUACCGGAAUAAGAAGCACCGGCUAACUACGUGCCAGCAGCCGCGGUAAUACGUAGGGUGCGAGCGUUAAUCGGAAUUACUGGGCGUAAAGCGUGCGCAGGCGGUUUUUUAAGACAGGCGUGAAAUCCCCGGGCUUAACCUGGGAACUGCGCUUGUGACUGGAAGGCUAGAGUACGGCAGAGGGGGGUGGAAUUCCACGUGUAGCAGUGAAAUGCGUAGAGAUGUGGAGGAACACCGAUGGCGAAGGCAGCCCCCUGGGCCGAUACUGACGCUCAUGCACGAAAGCGUGGGGAGCAAACA
rnacentral:rRNA from 1 species